UACGUAGGGUGCAAGCAUUAUUCGGAGUGACUGGGCGUAAAGAGUUGCGUAGGUGGUUUGUUAAGUGAAUAGUGAAAUCUGGUGGCUCAACCAUACAGACUAUUAUUCAAACUGGCAAACUCGAGAGUAGCAGAGGUAACUGGAAUUUCUAGUGUAGGGGUAAAAUCCGUAGAUAUUAGAAAGAACACCAAUGGCGUAGGCAGGUUACUGGGCUAUUUCUGACACUGAGGCACGAAAGCGUGGGGAGCGAACCGG
rnacentral:rRNA from 1 species